UACGUAGGGUGCGAGCGUUAAUCGGAAUACUGGCGUAAAGCGUGCGCAGGCGGUUAUGUAAGACAGAUGUGAAAUCCCCGGGCUCAACCCUGGGAACUGCAUUUGUGACUGCAUAGCUAGAGUACGGUAGAGGGGGAUGGAAUUCCGCGUGUAGCAGUGAAAUGCGUAGAUAUGCGGAGGAACACCGAUGGCGAAGGCAAUCCCCUGGACCUGUACUGACGCUCAUGCACGAA
rnacentral:rRNA from 1 species